rnacentral:rRNA from 1 species
ACGCGAAGAACCUUACCAGGGUUUGACAUGAUACGAAUUUCUUUGAAAGAAGAAAGUGCCGUUUGGAACGUAUACACAGGUGGUGCAUGGCUGUCGUCGGCUCGUGUCGUGAGAUGUUGGGUUAAGUCCCGCAACGAGCGCAACCCUUGUUUUUAGUUGCCUUUAUGGAACUCUAAAAAGACUGCUGGUUAUAAACCGGAGGAAGGUGGGGAUGACGUCAAGUCAGCAUGCCCCUUACACCCUGGGCUACACACGUGCUACAUUGGGCGAGACAAUGAGAUGCAAAUCUGCAAAGACUAGCUAAUCUAUAAACUCGUUCUAAGUUCGGAUUGUAGGCUGCAACUCGCCUACAUGAAGGUGGAAUCGCUAGUAAUCGCUGGUCAGCUAUACAGCGGUGAAUUCGUUCCCGGGCCUUGUACACACCGCCCGUCACACCAUGGAAGCUGGUUAUACCCGAAGUCAUUACUCUAACCGUNU